UCCAAUCUCGCUGUCAUCUGUUGCGCCCGUUGCGCCCUGUGGUUGCGCCAUCCCAGUGCGCCAUCCGAGUAAGUCCAAAGGUACGUACGAGAAAAAGGUCCGAGCGCACAGAUAUGAGCGAUUAGCUGCCCCAGAAACAAUUGCGCGCUGUGAACCCAGAAGCGGGUGUGCGCUGAACAGCGCCGAGCUGAACUGCCACCAGAUCCUUUCUGACAGAAAGGCAGGUUGCACCGUGCAAUGUAUGUCCAGCCAAACGAGCAGCCAAAGAACCAGCCCAACUACAAUAUGGGUGGAGGUAGUCAGAUCGACGCCGUUCCUAUCCCACACUGGAAGAGACCCGAAUUCCUGGCAGAACUACGGAACCGUACGGAGCACAACAACCAGCAGCAGAGGGAUGAGCCUCCACCCAGCCCCAUCCAAAAGUCUCCCAGCCAAGAUGCGCCGUCGACUGCACGAUGCGAGCCAAUCCGAGGUACUCCUGCCACGCCGUCUGUGCCAUCAACCGCACCAUCGGAGUCUUCCCCUCGAGGCACUCAGAAAUGCACGCUGAUGCGGUAGCCACUACUUCUAUCGCGUGCACCACAGAAACUGGCUGGACCAGUCAUGCGGGACUGCGCCAAGACCAGUACGGUGGCUGUGGGAGGCGACCGAAAAGACUGGACGACUUGCAGGCCCAACAAGUUGCGGCGAGCAGAAGUAGAGGCAGCCAGGGAGACUGUCGUUUUGUCUUGACGCCGGGUAGAGGGGGCCACUGUUGUUGAUACUGUGGACAGCCUUCCACCUGCAAAUGUCUUUCAUUAGGCUUACAUAACCAAAGACUGCCUCUCGGAUGGUAACUGCCAUCCGAGACAAGUGGCUUGUUGUGAAGUGCCUGGCACUAGAUGCCGAAGAUUGUGCUUACUAAGCCCAUAUCUAGACUACAACGAAAAUAGGCCCAGUAAUGAUGUAUCUCGGAUGGACAAGUGGUAAACUUAGGUGGAAUAAUGCAACAGGUUCACGAUAGUAAUGACAUACCAUUAAGUCGCAGAAGUGCAAUGUUAAAAAGCAUGGGUUCAGCUAUAAGCCGUUUUCAUAUGCUCUAAAGGAAUACAUCUGUGAGUGCACGAUAGUUGUUCUACAUAAUUUAAAGCUAAUUGGGCCAGAACAGUUUUGUUAUUAAAAAGAAUGGCUCGCCCCCUUCCCACACACACACACAAAAGUCAAAUUUGACAAUUGUGUUUAGCAAGCACAAGGUUGAGAUCCUCCAAUACGAAGGGGUUAGCCCUAAAUCCCGAGAAAUCUAGCCUGGGGUCUUCAAUACGCACCAUGCAGUAGUAAUACAGAACGGCAUGCCUGUACAGUACUCAUCCAUAUCGAAACGGGCAGGGGUGGGGAUUGAACCCGGGAUAUCUGGGUUCUGUAGCGCAAGCUUUAGCCCCACAAGCUGUGGUGCGCUGACACACUUAAACACCAAAAAAAAAAUCAGAUUUUUUUUUUUAAUUUUCUGUCUGGAUAAGUUACAUCACACACUGCACUUUCCUCCCCCCCCCUCUCUCCCCCCAAAAUAAACAAGAUAAUGCAAUAUUUACCUAGCCAAAUACAUUUUAGUUCUAAGCAACACUGUCUGCUUGCGUGCACCGGCUCGCAAUAAGAGCUAGUGUACUGGCACUUGCUUCCAUUUUGAGUUCAACAUCAUAGUAAUGUCAAAAUAGGAGCCACAUUCUAGGGCCUCCUUUUGACAGGUAGGAGUGCAGAGUAGAGGUGCGUCUAUUCACACGUGCUCUCCUUUGCACGCUGUAAUAAGGCACGCCAAAAAAGAGUGGAGAUGACUCGGUUGCAUGGCUCUGCUGAACUGCACCUGGCAGCGUAAAUAUUGGGUUAGCUUUCUUCCCCCGGGAAAAUGAGUUUUAUUGUAUUUGCUCUAUCCAGGAAGUCUAAAAAAAGAAAAGAAGCUUUUUAAGUGUGCAGGGUCCCUUGUAGUGUAUUCGCACGAGAGAUGUAUCUCCGCGGUGAAAACUUGAAAAACCGGCUACGUCACAAGCCUGCGAGGAGGAUAAGCCGCGACAGAGGGGAUGACUCGGAGAUAACUGGGCUAGUAUUUGGCUCGUUUGUCGCCAUUUCUAUCCAGACGAGGCGACAGGUAUUCUGUGAGCCGCCGACAGGCCCUCUGCAGUUAUCCACGGGUGGGGGCAAACAGUGGCGCGAGUCACGUGACCUCCAAACUCGAUGACGUAUGCCCACUUCCAAGACUGCUCCGCGAGAAAAACUCUGUCGUGCGAAUACACCAUAAAGGGAAGAGGCUUCUGCACCUCGCAUGGAAAGGGGUAGACAAAGGGAGUGGGGGCUGGAUAUAGUGAGAUUGAGUUAGCAUUACCCAAAGCAUGCGUUGUCACAAUGUCUCUUCUAACGCAUUGCCAUAUCUUCUAUGCAACCUGGCGUUAUGCAAUUCUUCGUGCUGCUGGGCCCCUGUCUAUUGAUGUCUUAUGGCGCAACAAAAGAGCUUCAAGCUGAGCUUGCAAACUAGAACUAUGAAAAACUGGUUACUCAUUUUUUGUUUACUGGUUGGUAAAUGGGCCAAUUUCUCGAUUGCUGAACUGUUGCUGGUUCCUUUACAACCGAGCCUCUGCUGGGUGUGGUUUUACGAGAUGUUGAUUGCUCAAACCGAUUCAUUGUACCAUCGUUUAGAAUGCAGCAAUGAAAUACAUAGACGCAAAUAAAGUUGUUUUUAAACUAA
rnacentral:lncRNA from 1 species